UACGUAGGGGGCAAGCGUUGUCCGGAAUCAUUGGGCGUAAAGCGCGUGUAGGCGGCUUGAUAAGUCUGCUCUGAAAGCCCGGGGCUCAACCCUGGGAGGCGGUGGAUACUGUCGAGCUCGAGUCCGGAAGAGGCGAGUGGAAUUCCUGGUGUAGCGGUGAAAUGCGCAGAUAUCAGGAGGAACACCAAUGGCGAAGGCAGCUCGCCGGGACGGUACUGACGCUGAGACGCGAAAGCGUGGGGAGCAAACAGG
rnacentral:rRNA from 1 species